GCCCUCCGCCACCUCCGCGCCGCCGACCCCCACCUCGGCCGCGUCAUGGACGCCCACGAGCUCCCGGCCUUCCAGUACCUCCACCCGCCCUUCCACGCCCUCGCCCGCAGCAUCCUCUACCAGCAGCUCGCCUUCAAGGCCGCCGCCUCCGUCUACUCCCGCUUCCUCUCCCUCUGUGGCGGCGAGGCCGGCGUCGUGCCCGAGGCCAUCCUCGCCCUCACGCCCCAUCAGCUCCGCCAGAUCGGCGUCUCCGGCCGCAAGGCUUCCUACCUCCACGACCUCGCCCGAAAGUACCACACCGGUAUCCUCUCCGACGCUGCCAUCGUUGCCAUGGACGACAAGUCUCUCUUCACUAUGCUCACCAUGGUCAAAGGCAUCGGCGCCUGGUCCGUCCACAUGUUUAUGAUCUUCUCUCUCCACCGCCCGG
rnacentral:lncRNA from 1 species